GUGCCCUUCGGCAGCACAUAUACUAAAACUGGAACAAUACAGAGAAGAUUAGCAUGGCCCCUGCACCAGGAUGACAAGCAAUUAUUUAAUAAGCACUCUGAUCCA